ensembl:lncRNA
GGCCGGAGGAGGAGGGGGAAUAGGGAACCGGAGGAGGAGGGGGGGAAUAGGGUCCGGAGGAGGGGGGGAAUAGGGUCCGGAGGAGGGGGGGAAUAGGGUCCGGAGGAGGAGGGGGAAUAGGGUCCGGAGGAGGAGGGGGAAUAGGGUCCGGAGGAGGAGGGGGAAUAGGGUCCGGAGGAGGAGGGGGAAUAGGGUACGGAAGAGGAGGGGGAAUAGGGUACGGAAGAGGAGGGGGAAUAGGGUACGGAAGAGGAGGGGGAAUAGGGUCCCGGAGGAGAAGGGGGAAUAGGGUCCGGAGGAGGGGGGGAAUAGGGGCCGGGGGGGGGGGGGGGGGGCGAAUAUUUCUGUUACUGAAGGGAAGAGUGCGUCUGUCCAUCGUUUUUGUUAACUUACUGUAAAGAUUCUAAAUGAUCAUGUUUAGUCAAUACAGCCCAUGUUGUUCUUUACAUGAAUAGCAGCUAUAUGUUAUUAUUAUCAGCUCAUGAUGUUCUUUACCUGAAUAGCUAUGAUGUUAUUAUUAUCAGCCCAUGUUGUUCUUUACAUGAAUAGCAGCUAUAUGAUGUUAUUAUUAUCAGCUCAUGUUGUUCUUUACCUGAAUAGCAGCUAAAUGUUAUUAUUAUCAGCUCAUGUUGUUCUUUACCUGACUAGCUAUGAUAUUAUUAUCAGCCCAUGUUGUUCUUUACCUGAAUAGCAGCUAUAUGGUGUUAUUAUUAUCAGCUCAUGUUGUUCUUUACCUGACUAGCAGCUAAAUGAUGUUAUUAUUAUCAGCUCAUGUUGUUCUUUACAUGAAUAGCAGCUAUAUGAUGUUAUUAUUAUCAGCUCAUGUUGUUCUUUACAUGAAUAGCAGCUAUAUGAUGUUAUUAUUAUCAGCUCAUGUUGUUCUUUACAUGAAUAGCAGCUAUAUGAUGUUAUUAUUAUCAACCCAUGUUGUAUUCUACAUGAAUAGCCGCUAUAUGAUGUUAUUAUUAUCAGCUCAUGUUGUUCUUUACAUGAAUAGCAGCUAUAUGAUGUGUAUUUUAUUAGUAAAAACGUGUUUGACCUUGUGAUUGUGUCUAUAGCAGCCUAGGGUAGUAGUGUAUAGGUAAACUAGGACUGCUUCUGAAAUGGCUUAUUCCCUCUAUAGUGCACUACUUUUAACCAGAGCCCUAUGGCGGUGGCCUUACGGACCCUGGUAGGGUGACAUUUCAGAAGCAGACUGGGUUUCACUAGGGUUGUUUUGUGUGUUUUUAGAUGUUCAGUGUAACAGGGAGUUAUUCUAUGCUUCAAUGGAACUGAAGGGACACAGUGGUACCAUGAAGUUACAUCCAUACAAAAAUGUUACUAUGAAAUUUACAAUGUGACUUAACAGUUAAAUGUUACUAUGAGGUUUACAAUGUGACUUAACAGUUAAAUGUUGCUACGAGGGAAGGUUGAGACCCCCAUGGAUCAGGGCAGAAUGUUCUGGACACACCUCUUGACCAGACAGUCAGGUAUUUGGGGUCAGAGGUUAGGGAGGGAGGGGGGUGAUGACCAGAGGAUUAGAUGACCCUCUGUGUUUACUGUGAACAAGGAGAGGCGUUUCUGUUAUUGAUUUAUAGAUUUUUCUGUGGUUUAUUUAAGUUAGAUGUUACUGAUGAUGCUGUUAAAUUGACUUCCUGUUGAACUGAAGAGGCUGUUGUCUGGUCCUCUAUCAUUCAUAGAGGAUUAAUCUAUUAGAACAAUGUCUCCGGUCCUGUGCUACUGUUGUGCUUCUGUGAUUCCCCCCCCCCCCCCCAGGUAUGUUUUCACUUUUCAGGAUAUAGUAAAUAAAGACGCUGCCUAAACAUGGUUCAGGGUGAAUCCCAGUCUGUAUGCUGCUUUGGGCUCGAUUCAAUCAAACUUACUAAACAGAGAACAUCCCUGGUCAUCCCUACUGCCUCUGAUCUGGAGAACUUACUAAACAGAGAACAUCCCUGGUCAUCCCUAAUGUCUCUGAUCUGGAGGACUCACUAAUCCCUGGUCAUCUUUACUCAAAUCAAAUAAAAUUUUAUUUGUCACAUACACAUGGUUAGCAGAUGUUAAUGCGAGUGUAGCGAAAUGCUUGUGCUUCUAGUUCCGACAAUGCAGUAAUAACCAACAAGUAAUCUAACUAACAAUUCCAAAACUACUGUCUUAUACACAGUGUAAGGGGAUAAAGAAUAUGUACAUAAGGAUAUAUGAAUGAGUGAUGGUACAGAGCAGCAUAGCAGAGCAGUAGAUGGUAUCGAGUACAGUAUAUACAUGAGGUGAGUAUGUAAACAAAGUGGCAUAGUUAAAGUGGCUAGUGAUACAUGUAUUACAUAAGUGUCACACCCUGACCAUAGUUUACUUUGUAUAUUUCUAUGUUGUGGUUGGUCAGGGUGUGAUCUGAGUGGGCAUUCUAUGUUACAUGUCUAGUUUGUCCAGUUCUAUGUUCGGCCUGAUAUGGUUCUCAAUCAGAGGCAGGUGUUCGUCAUUGUCUCUGAUUGGGAACCAUAUUUAGGUAGCCUGGGUUUCACUGUGGGUUUGUGGGUGAUUGUUCCUGUCUAUGUGUUUUUCACCAGAUAGGCUGUUUUAGGUUUUCGUUACGUUCAUCACGUUCUUUAUUUUGUAGUGUUUGCAUUGAUUCGUGUU